CUUCUGCCCCAUCCCUGGUCUGGGGCGACAUUGGACACCCAUCGAGAGGAAAGCACCUCCGAGAUUCCUAGAGAGGCCGGCUUGGCGACUUGGGGAGCCGGAAGCCCAUCCCGAGGCACUUCCUGUCCGGUCAUUGUUCUCGUGCCGGUAGAAGCUGAGGUCGCGGUCAGCCAGCCUCUUGCUGCAGAGCCAGUGAACUCAGGUCGGGCUUCUCAGCUGCGCACAGUGAGUGGGGUCGGAGUGGGUGGGCACGAACGUCAAGGGAGAAAAAGGGGCUCUCCCAGGGGCCAUGGCCCUAGGAACGGCCCCUGCGUCCUUUCCCCGGGGACACCAGCCUUGUCUGGCGGGGGGCGGUGAGUUCCCCACCGCCUCGGAAUCCCGGCUGCUGCCCACCUGGGGCCUGGCCCGGGAGAGGAUGGACACAGACCGGCCAAGGGGCCAGAUAGGUCCCACGGACAGGGCCGCGAGGAGCCUAUACGUGGAGAGAAUGGAUUGCCACGUUUGGAAAUAGAGAAAGGACAUUGAAAGGGAGCCUUUGAUAGAGGGCCCUGUGCGGUCUGGGACCGGAGGUCCGUCACAAUCUGAUCAGAAGUCUGAUGAGAGUACUCACAGUAGGCAGUCUUGCACAUACACAAGGUGGAACUAGUCUUAAGGACCUUCAUACCAGAUUGAAUUCGGAUAGUGAUGGAAAGAAUAGUCCUCCAGAAUUAAGUAGGCAGUACUCAUCUUGGCCCUGGGAAUAAACUCAAGAAGAACCUGUUGAAACAUAAAGCUUAGAUGGGGUUUGACCUCUGCUGGGCAGCUCCCAGCUAUAGGAGUUCCCCUGCUGAGCAGAGAAGAUGACUGCAGAAUUGAGAGAAGCUAUGGCCCUAGCCCCAUGGGGCCCAGUGAAGGUGAAAAAGGAGGAGGAAGAAGAAGAAAACUUCCCAGAUCAGGCAUCCAGCCAACAAGUGCACUCUGAGAACAUCAAAGUCUGGGCCCCAGUGCAGGGUCUUCAGACAGGCCUUGAUGGAUCAGAAGAGGAAGAAAAGGGUCAGAAUAUAUCCUGGGACAUGGCGGUAGUCCUGAAAGCAACUCAGGAGGCACCUGCUGCUUCACCCCUUGGCAGCUACUCGUUACCAGGGACUCUGGCCAAGAGUGAGAUACUGGAGACUCAUGGGACCAUGAACUUUCUAGGUGCUGAAACCAAGAACCUACAGUUACUGGUUCCAAAAACUGAGAUAUGUGAGGAAGCUGAAAAAUCCCUCAUCAUAUCAGAAAGAAUCCAGAAAGCUGAUCCUCAAGGACCUGAGUUAGGAGAAGCUUGUGAAAAAGGAAACAUGUUAAAGAGGCAGAGAAUAAAGAGGGAAAAGAAAGAUUUCAGACAAGUGAUAGUGAAUGACUAUCACUUACCUGAAAGCUUCAAAGGAGAGGAAAACCAGAAAUGUAAGAAAUCUGGGGGAAAAUACAGCCUUAAUUCUGGCGCUGUUAAAAAUCCAAAAACUCAGCUUGGACAAAAGCCUUUUACAUGUAGCGUGUGUGGGAAAGGAUUUAGUCAGAGUGCAAACCUCGUUGUGCAUCAGCGAAUCCACACUGGAGAGAAACCCUUUGAAUGUCAUGAGUGUGGGAAGGCCUUCAUUCAGAGUGCAAACCUCGUUGUGCAUCAGAGAAUCCACACUGGACAGAAACCUUAUGUUUGCUCAAAAUGUGGGAAGGCCUUCACUCAGAGUUCAAAUCUGACUGUACAUCAAAAAAUCCACUCCUUAGAAAAAACUUUUAAGUGCAAUGAAUGUGAGAAAGCCUUUAGUUACAGCUCACAACUUGCUCGGCACCAGAAAGUCCACAUUACAGAAAAAUGCUAUGAAUGUAAUGAAUGUGGGAAAACAUUUACUAGGAGCUCAAACCUCAUUGUCCACCAGAGGAUCCACACUGGGGAGAAGCCCUUUGCCUGUAAUGACUGUGGCAAAGCCUUUACCCAGAGUGCAAAUCUUAUUGUACAUCAGCGAAGCCAUACUGGUGAGAAGCCAUAUGAGUGUAAAGAGUGUGGGAAAGCCUUUAGUUGUUUUUCACACCUUAUUGUGCACCAGAGAAUUCACACUGCAGAGAAACCUUACGACUGCAGCGAAUGUGGGAAAGCCUUCAGUCAGCUCUCUUGCCUUAUUGUCCACCAGAGAAUUCACAGUGGAGAUCUUCCUUACGUGUGUAAUGAAUGUGGGAAGGCCUUCACAUGUAGCUCAUACCUACUUAUUCAUCAGAGAAUUCAUAAUGGAGAAAAACCUUACACAUGUAAUGAGUGUGGGAAGGCCUUCAGACAGAGGUCGAGCCUCACCGUGCACCAGAGAACCCACACUGGGGAGAAGCCCUAUGAAUGUGAGAAGUGUGGUGCAGCUUUCAUUUCCAACUCACACCUCAUGCGACACCAUAGAACCCAUCUUGUUGAAUAACAAGUAAGGAAGAGGAAGACCUCCAGCAUUGGUCAUAACCUUCUGCCUCCCUAAUGAGACACCUCUUUGCUGUUUUCUUCCUCCUCUGUAAAAGUGAGGGCUAUGUCCUUAAAAGUUAGAGUUUUCAGGAAUGCAGCACAAGACACAAGAAAAGCAUUUCAGAGGCUAAUUUAAAGAAGACAAAAAGCACCUAAAGGUGACACCUGAUGAUCCCAAAGAACCAAAGGAUUUUCUCUCUUCCAUCACGGGUUCGAAUGAGAGUGAGGUGCACAGAUGAGGAUGAGCCCUGUAAGCCUGAAGGAGGAGCAGCCCCGGGCCAGUGGCUCUUGCCUUGGGAACACCCCCACCAGGGCUGAGGGCUGGCAUUUCCCAUCUUAGCUUGGUGGGCCACAACCAAAGAUAUCAAGACCAAAGUUGAAAAGGAAGAUUUGAUGCCGGAAAAAACAAAUAUGAAAGGAGAAUUCUCUGGAAGACUGGAAGCAUGAAAAGUGGGAAGUAGGGGAACAGGGCAUUCGGAACAGCCUGCAGACAAGCAAGUGAGGAGAGACAAGCCAGACACCAGGCAGGCCCCAACAAAAGAAAAGAUGUCUCCCAGGAGAGAGGGGCCGGAACUGUAAGGAACUCAGGAAAGAGGUCUGCCACAACUCCAGCCUGGCUGCCCCUAGCAGGAAUCUCUAAGCAUGUACUGUGUGUGGCAAGGCCUUCAGCCAGAGCUCCACUUUCAUCGUGCAUCAGAUAAUCCACACCUGGGAGAAGCCGUGUGGGUGUGGGUAGUGUGGCAAGGCCUUCAUGCAGAGCUCCCACCUGACCUAGAACCAGAGGGUACACAUGGGGAAGAAGCCCUUUGUCUGUGGCACAUGUGGAAAGGCCUUCAGUCAGGGACCAAGCCUAGUCGUGCACACAGGGUGGAAGCCACACAUGUGCCCAGAGGGUGGCAAGACCUUCAGCUGCAGCUCAUGCUUCCUGGUUCACUGGUAGAGCAACACGGGGGAGAAGCCCUAUUGCUGCACCCAGUAUGGAAAGGCCUUCGGCCAGGGCUCCCACCUUUCCAGGGUGAGGAAAUCAACUCAGAGUUUUGCAAAUUAUCUGAGAUGACCCAACCAGUCAGAGGCAGAGCAUGUCCUAAAGGGCCCCUCAUGGUUGCCUAGUGCCUGGUGCCUGGGAGCAUGCCUGGAAGAAACACCAGCCAACUUCCCCGGUCAGAGCCCAGUGCUGAUGGGUCAGGGCUUCAGGUCCAGCACUGAAUCCACAUGAGAGCAAGCUGAGCCACUGUCAUCAACCUAGCUCUCAGGCUAAGGCAGGCUCCUGUAAGGGCCUCCCAGUGUCUUUGGAGAGACAAGAUACAUACACAGUAAACACACAAAUGAGUAAAGGACAGUAGGUGACAAGCUGAGAUUAAAGUGCUGAAGUGUGUGCAGAGAUAGCAAGAUCAGCAGGGAGGGAAAAUGGGCGAAGCUUUAGUGGGCCAGCUCUGGGAGAAUGGGUUGGCAGUAGGUGGAUGAGGGACAUCCUAGGGAGGGGACUAAGCAAACAAGGAAUGCCUCCAGGUGGGUCCCAGUGAGGGGAGAGACUGGCUGUGCAGUCACUAGGAGUGGCAGGCUUGACAUGCACAUGGGGAGGUGAGAAGUUUCAGGACAAAAGCCCCGGUGUGUGGGUGGUACCAACCAAGGCCAAGCCCUGCCCACAGUACUGGGCUUCGUGUACCAGGUUAACCCUGCGUGAGCCACUGAGCAUCAUUUUCCACACCUGUGCAGGACAGGAGUUGGACAUGAGGGGCUUUGAGCUCUCGUCUCUCUGCCACUUGUGAUUUCAGAGCUUUGAAGCCAUUGUCAGAAUGAGGACUAAUAGACGGAGGGAAGUGUUGGGAGAAUGAAGCUGAUGGGAACUCAGGGUAGACGGGCAAAGAGGAGGAAAAGGAGACAAGGGAGACCACGUGGGAGGCAGGUGGGGAAAUCCAGUUGGUUCGUCUCAGACUUUGGUACCUACAACAGGUGACCUUGCUCAGCUGAAGUAGGUCAAAGAUGCUCUUUAGUCAUUGUCCAUUCAUUCAGCAAUUUACUGAGCACCUUUUAUGUAAAAGGCACUUUGCUAGGUGAACUAAGGGACCCACAGGGAAUGAGACCUGGUCCUUCUCUCAACACAAUCCAGCAGGGGAAGUAAGACCACCACAAGGCAGAACAUGCUGAGCAGGAGGACAGCUGAGGAUAAUUGCAGGGAAGUUCAGACGAGGGUGGAUGCUGCUUUGAUUUGGGGUGGAUCAUGAAAAAAGUGGCAUUCAAGCCAACCUCAAAGGGUGAGUAGGAGUCCCAAAACCUGAUGGGAGAGGAGUUGUGUCUAGGAGGACUUGUCUGGAAAGCAUGAAGCAUGUUGGGAACAGUGUACUGCCUUGGCUUGAUAGAUGGAAGGCAUGCCAGUGACACCCUGGGUGCUUGCUAAUGUUCAUGCUGUGUGAGAUGUAAGGUACAGCUAGUCUGAAACCCUUCCUAGCACUGGCUCCUUUUGCAGUGUGGAUGUUUUGUUAAUAAAGAACAGGUUUGUGCUUCCCCCAUCACUAAGCAGUGCUUAGCUUAAAAUGUCAUGCAGCCUGGUCUAGUAAAUAAAAUAUACAGUGCAGCUCUCCAGAUCCCCUAGUUGCCAGCAAUUAUCAGUCUGCUGGGACCUGGCAGGAAGGAGAGAGUUUAAUGAAAGGGUGAUUUACAGAGGUUUGGGGAGGGGAUGGGGAGACACCAGAUACCAGCAAGAACUAGAGCCUCUGCCACUCCUAGCUUGAAAGGGCACGGAAGGAAAUGGUGUAGCUGAAGUCAUGCAGCUGUGGUUACAGAGGGACACAGCCACUGCCAGAACCAUGGUAGCAGACAGAAGUACCCCGUCCCAUUCUCAUGCCUCCCUCUGACAUACCAGUGCAUCCCACUAGGAAGCCAGAAGUAAGGGACCCAGGGUGAUGCCACCCACAGGUAUCUCUGCCCCAGGGCAAAGAGGUAGAUGAUGGAUCUGGGGUGCAGACAAGAAUAACCAAUAUGCAGGCCAAGGAGUGGAGUCAAAGAAUAACUCUGUGGGGCAGAGACCAGUCUCUACCCAGAGCUGCUUGGCCUCUGGUAGGACAUGGAUCUCUCUACUCUCUAAUUUCUACCUCUGCCACUUCCCUGAAUGGCGCAGCUCCUCUAAAAUGAGUGGGAGAGUAAACCCUUGGCCCUUCCCACCUUCCAGCAGACAUUAACUUCAUCCAGUCCCUGGACUCCCCCAACACCCACCCCCAGAGAAACCUGGUAAUUUGUUUCUCUGGCUGUACAGGUUAUCCCCUGCUGCCCUGCCCUAGAGAUAAGGCACUGUUAGGCCAUGUCUCAGAGCAGGAAAGCAAAUUAAUAAUAAUUGUUUUAUUUUAUAUAGUAGUUACUAAGCACUUACUCUGCGCAGUGCUCUUCUUAAUGUGUUUUACUCAAUCCUCACUGCAUCCCUUAGAUAGAUUGUUAAUAUCGCCAUUUUAUAGACAGGGACAGUGAGGCACAGAGAGUUUAAGAAGUUUGCCCACAGGUAUGCAGUAAGUGGAGAAGGGACUGGGCUGUGGGCAUUGAGUGGCUGCUGAGUCUGGACACCACAGCCCACACCAGGGGUGGACAUUGCUCCAUUCAAUUUACUGUCUCCCUGAUACGCCACCUGUAGCCCACACCGAGCCAUGCACAGCUGCAGUGGUCACUUCCCUGGCCACCGUCUCCAUCCAGGCAGAGGUGUUUUGGUCCCUUCACCACUUAGUUCUGCUUUGCCCUUAUGUCCAAAGCAAAACCCUUUUUACUCUACUUUUGUUCUAGUAAAAAAUUAACUUCCCUUCAUUCUGCAAUCCUUAGCCAGGUGUCUGCCCAAGACAACUAGCAGUUUCACACAGAUGCUAAGUCUCAUGCAAACCAAAACCAAGGAGUCACACAGCUCAUUUCAGAUGCUUAUUGUGUAAACACACAAGAUUAGCAGUUGCUUUCAUGAAUGUCUGGGUUUCUAUGCACACCCUACACCUUGCCUUUGUUAAAAUAGGCUGUUUUAACAAGGGAAAGGGCCCUGGUGUUUGCCAAAAGAAGGGGGAUUUGGCAAGAAAUAAGGAUUUUCUUAUACUUUGGAUGGACAUUUUUUAUUCUUAUACUUAAAAAAAUUAUUAUACUUUGAAAUUUCAACUCCCUGUGACGGAUGCCAUGCAGCUUGAGCUGACAGAUGUUGCAACUGUAAUUCACCUCAGGCUUUCCUUGUUGCCAGAAGUCAAGCCAGUGACUGUUCCUAGCACCCCCUUUUUGCCUACUAGUGAUUGAAAGAUAAAGUACAUCUCAUGCUGGAAUUGACCUGGAGGUAACUGGAGACAUUUUGAAAGUCAACCUUCCAGUUUGUUAAAAAUCUCUAAAAUUGACCCUCUAGUGUUGGGGACUAUAGAUCCACACCCAAGAGAGGACCAGUUCCUGACUUAAUUGGAGUCCGGGCUAAACUCAUAGCGGUGAGCAGCAACCAGCAUUACAAUACAGUCCUGUGCUGCUUAACAAUGGAGAGUUCUGAAAAGGGCAUUGUUAGGUGAUUUCAUUGUUGCGUGAAUAUUGUAGAGUGUACUCAAACAAACCUAGAUGGCAUGUCUAAGUACAUGCUAGGCUCUGUGGUAUAGUCCUAGGCUAUAUGAUAUACACCCUACUACACCCUAACUAUGUGGUACAGCCCCACUGCUCUUAGACUACAAACUUGUACAGCGUAUUAUUGUACUGAAUACUGUAGGCAAUUGUAGCAGAAUGGUAUCUGUAUAUCUAAAAAUAACUUAGAAAAGGUACAGUAAAAAUAUGGUAUGAAAGAUAAAAAAUAGUAUGCUUAUAUAGGGCAUUUACCAUGAACGGAGUUUGCAGGACUGGAAGUUGUUCUGGAUGAGUCAGUGAGUGAGUGGUGAGUGAAUGUGAAGGCCUAGGAUGCUACUGUACACUUCUGUAGACUUUACAAAUAUUGUACACUUAGAGUACACUAAAUUUACUUAAAAAUUUCUUUCUUCAAUAAGUUAACCUAAUGUAACUUUUUACUAUAUAAACUUUUAAAAUUUUCUGACUUUUGUAAUAACACUUAGAUUAAAACACAAAUGCACUGU